rnacentral:rRNA from 1 species
AUACAGAGGGUGCGAGCGUUAAUCGGAUUUAUAGGGCGUAAAGCGUGCGUAGGUGGUUGGGUAAGUCAGAUGUGAAAGCCCCGGGCUUAACCUGGGAACUGCAUUUGAUACUGCCUAGCUAGAGUUUGGUAGAGGGAAGUGGAAUUCCAGGUGUAGCGGUGAAAUGCGUAGAUAUCUGGAGGAACACCAGUGGCGAAAGCGGCUUCCUGGACCGAAACUGACACUGAGGCACGAAAGCGUGGGGAGCAAACAGGAUUAGAAACCCGAGUAGUCC